CUGCACUGAGCACCGUUGGAGUCGGGCUUUGCAGGAGCCCUUCACGGCCCCGACAUGCUGUGACUCUGAAUGCAUUUCAUUGUCAGCCCAAGUCCAUGAUCACCUGCAGGACAAACAGUCAAAGGCAGACCUGAGAACCAGGCUUCUGUCUGACUUUGCUGUUUACUUGCCGCACAAGCUCGCAGAGAGAACCUUUGCCAGUGCUCCUUCCUGUGUGCCAGACUUCAGAGUAAGAGGGACAGAGGGGACCUAGCCUCAUACAAGGGACCCACACGGCAUCAGAGCAGGAGAGACCUUUGUGUUGAUGCCCAUUUCUGACUUCCUUCAUCGACACGAAGAUGGCCAGAGACCAGGCCUCGGAGAAGACCUCAUGUCCCUCGUGCUUCAGGUCCUCUUCCGUCUGAAUCCAGAGGUUGCUGGAUCUGCGCAGACAGAGUGGGAAGAGAGCUCAUCCUCAUGGAAUGAUGGCGCUGCUGCGGUGACAAUCAAACCCCAAGGUCAUAUUUCCUGUAAAUUCUGUGAGGGAUUCUCUCAGCGUGGAGAGAAGAAGGAUGACCCCUCUGGCUCUGUGACAGCUCCCUCCAGAGGCCAAAAUGUCCCCUUCAUUUCUGGGCUCUGGCUCGGUCAGAAGCUCUCGACGUGAGUUUGUCCCCAAGACAGUCCGUCCUGUAAGUGCGCGCUGUGUUUUGUGCUAAGGAAUGAGUGAAGGUCGCCUGGAACGGCUCUGAAAUGAUUUCUUCUCAGGAACGUUUGCGUGGGUACAAGAGACACUGGAUUUCUAACCUGGUCGUAUCUCACCUGUGUGUUUUUAGUUUCUAUCUGCAGUGUGCCAAAUCGCGAUCCCAAUUUCUUUUAAAAAUGGAUGUAAAUUGAAGUUUAUUACAUAUAAAGGUAAAUACACACAGCA
rnacentral:lncRNA from 1 species